rnacentral:rRNA from 1 species
GCGCAACGACUUGGGCGCUGUCUCGACCAUGGACCCGGUGAAAUUGCACUGGUCGUGAAGAUGCGACUUACCCGCGGAAGGACGGAAAGACCCCGUGAACCUUCACUGCAGCUUGGCAUUGGCCGCUGGUCCCGCGUGUAGAGGAUAGGCAGGAGGCACAGAUCCGGAGGCGCCAGCCCCCGGGGAGCCGCCCUUGGAAUACUGCCCUCGCGCGACCGGCGUCCUAACCCGAGGCCGUCAACCGGCUCGGGGACCGUGCCAGGCGGGCAGUUUGACUGGGGCGGUCGCCUCCUAAAGGGUAACGGAGGCGCGCGAAGGUCCGCUCGGGACGGUCGGCAACCGUCCUUUUGAAUGCAAGAGUACAAGCGGGCUUGACUGCGAGGCCCACAAGCCGAGCAGGUGCGAAAGCAGGCUCUAGUGAUCCGGCGGCCCCGAGUGGGUGGGCCGUCGCUCAACGGAUAAAAGGUACUCCGGGGAUAACAGGCUGAUCUUGCCCAAGAGUCCACAUCGACGGCAAGGUUUGGCACCUCGAUGUCGGCUCAUCGCAUCCUGGGGCUGUAGCAGGUCCCAAGGGUUGGGCUGUUCGCCCAUUAAAGCGGUACGCGAGCUGGGUUCAGAACGUCGUGAGACAGUUCGGUCCCUAUCCUCCGUGGGCGCAGGAGAAUCGAUGGAGGCUGCCCCCAGUACGAGAGGACCGGGGUGGACGCACCUCCGGUGAACCGGUUGUCGACCAACGGCACGGCCGGGUAGCCGCGUGCGGCGCGGAUAACCGCUGAAGGCAUCUAAGCGGGAAGCCGUUCCAGGGAUUAGUUCUCCUUCCGGUAAGGGCCCAGGUAGACUACCUGGUCGAUAGACGGCAGGUGCAAGGCUGGCGACAGCCUCAGCCGAGCCGCACUAAUCGCCCGAGCUCUUCCGGAA